AUGCUUAAAGCGCUAACACAUUAAUAUCCCAGAUAACCCAAGCUGCUUGUUAGGCGCUAGAAGGUUAUAGUCACAUAACUUGUCACAU